GUGAAGAUGGAUGGAAUAAACUUUUUGACUUGAUUCAAUCAGAACUUUAUGCAAGACCUGAUGAUGUUCAUGUAAAUAUUCGACUAGUAGAGCUUUAUCGUUCAAAUAAAAGAUUGAAGGAUGCCGUGGCCCACUGCCAUGAGGCAGACAGGAACAUGGCUUUACGUUCAAGUUUAGAAUGGAAUUCAUGUGUUGUCCAGACUCUUAAGGAAUAUCUGGAAUCUCUGCAGUGUUUGGAUUCUGAUAAAAGUACUUGGAGAGCAACCAAUAAAGACUUACUUCUAGCCUAUUCCAACCUUAUGCUACUUACACUUUCCACCAGAGAUGUGCAGGAAAGUAGAGAGCUAUUGGAGAGUUUUGAUAGUGCUCUUCAGUCUGUGAAAUCUUCUGUGGGUGGAAAUGACGAG
rnacentral:lncRNA from 1 species